AUAUAGUCAUUCACAAAAUAUGAAAAAGUAGAGAAUAGAACAGUGAGCAGAAUUUGUGCUAUAUUAUAAAUGGGGGGGCCCUUCAUACACAGUUCAUUUAGGCCGCCCCCAUUUGUCGUCUCCGCCUGCCUCCGACGUUGCGUUGCCUUUGACUCUCUCUCUCUCUCUUUCUUAACUUUUUCCCUCUCUCUCUCUACCUCUUAUAAUUUCUGUACUAACCUUGACACUUUCCCCUUUGAUCUUUCAUAUACACAUAUAAAUUAUCUUCUUGUUUUCUUCUCUUUUGUGGGUAUUGUGUUUUCUUGNNNNN
rnacentral:lncRNA from 1 species